rnacentral:rRNA from 1 species
ACCGUGAGGGAAAGGCGAAAAGAACCCCGGCGAGGGGAGUGAAAAAGAACCUGAAACCGUGUACGUACAAGCAGUGGGAGCACCCUUCGGGGUGUGACUGCGUACCUUUUGUAUAAUGGGUCAGCGACUUAUAUUCUGUAGCAAGGUUAACCGAAUAGGGGAGCCGGAGGGAAACCGAGUCUUAAUUGGGCGUUAAGUUGCAGGGUAUAGACCCGAAACCCGGUGAUCUAGCCAUGGGCAGGUUGAAGGUUGGGUAACACUAACUGGAGGACCGAACCGACUAAUGUUGAAAAAUUAGCGGAUGACCUGUGGCUGGGGGUGAAAGGCCAAUCAAACCGGGAGAUAGCUGGUUCUCCCCGAAAGCUAUUUAGGUAGCGCCUCGUGAAUUCAUCUCCGGGGGUAGAGCACUGUUUCGGCUAGGGGGCCAUCCCGGCUUACCAACCCGAUGCAAACUGCGAAUACCGGAGAAUGUUAUCACGGGAGACACACGGCGGGUGCUAACGUCCGUCGUGAAGAGGGAAACAACCCAGACCGCCAGCUAAGGUCCCAAAGUCAUGGUUAAGUGGGAAACGAUGUGGGAAGGCCCAGACAGCCAGGAUGUUGGCUUAGAAGCAGCCAUCAUUUAAAGAAAGCGUAAUAGCUCACUGGUCGAGUCGGCCUGCGCGGAAGAUGUAACGGGGCUAAACCAUGCACCGAAGCUGCGGCAGCGACACUGUGUGUUGUUGGGUAGGGGAGCGUUCUGUAAGCCUGUGAAGGUGUGUCGUGAGGCAUGCUGGAGGUAUCAGAAGUGCGAAUGCUGACAUAAGUAACGAUAAAGCGGGUGAAAAGCCCGCUCGCCGGAAGACCAAGGGUUCCUGUCCAACGUUAAUCGGGGCAGGGUGAGUCGACCCCUAAGGCGAGGCCGAAAGGCGUAGUCGAUGGGAAACGGGUUAAUAUUCCCGUACUUGGUGUUACUGCGAAGGGGGGACGGAGAAGGCUAUGUUGGCCGGGCGACGGUUGUCCCGGUUUAAGCGUGUAGGUGUGUGUUCCAGGUAAAUCCGGUUCACUUUAACACUGAGGCGUGACGACGAGGCACUACGGUGCUGAAGCAACAAAUGCCCUGCUUCCAGGAAAAGCCUCUAAGCAUCAGGUAACAUCAAAUCGUACCCCAAACCGACACAGGUGGUCAGGUAGAGAAUACCAAGGCGCUUGAGAGAACUCGGGUGAAGGAACUAGGCAAAAUGGUGCCGUAACUUCGGGAGAAGGCACGCUGACACGUAGGUGAAGUGAUUUACUCAUGGAGCUGAAGUCAGUCGAAGAUACCAGCUGGCUGCAACUGUUUAUUAAAAACACAGCACUGUGCAAACACGAAAGUGGACGUAUACGGUGUGACGCCUGCCCGGUGCCGGAAGGUUAAUUGAUGGGGUCAGCGCAAGCGAAGCUCCUGAUCGAAGCCCCGGUAAACGGCGGCCGUAACUAUAACGGUCCUAAGGUAGCGAAAUUCCUUGUCGGGUAAGUUCCGACCUGCACGAAUGGCGUAAUGAUGGCCAGGCUGUCUCCACCCGAGACUCAGUGAAAUUGAACUCGCUGUGAAGAUGCAGUGUACCCGCGGCAAGACGGAAAGACCCCGUGAACCUUUACUAUAGCUUGACACUGAACAUUGAGCCUUGAUGUGUAGGAUAGGUGGGAGGCUUUGAAGCGUGGACGCCAGUCUGCGUGGAGCCGACCUUGAAAUACCACCCUUUAAUGUUUGAUGUUCUAACGUGGACCCGU